AUGUAUUGUCUUUUACAUACAAAGAUCUUAUUGAAGUGUCAUCUGAAUUGGAGGAUGAUUAUGUUACGUGUCAGCGACUUAAAGAAUGAAAGUUGUAAGAAACCGCUUGCAACCGUCCGGACUGAGUGGUCGGGACGAUGUUUUCCAACGCAGUUUUAUAUCGGUCUGCUCGGUGAUUUGAACGUCAUUUUACGCCUUACCGCUGGCACGCAAGUGUCUGACAACCUUGACCCACCCAAACCCCUCUUCCUUACCCUGCGCCCUUUCCUGCCCGAAAACAGCUACCCGCAUUUAUGUCAUUCUAGAGCGGGCGCUCCGUGUUGA
rnacentral:rRNA from 1 species